GAAGAGGGAGGGAGGAAAAAGAGGGGGGGCGAGGACCACCUUUUUUCUUUUUCUUGUCCUUGUCCUUCCCUCUUUCUGCAAAUGGAGGGAUUUUUUCUUCUUCUUCAUUUUCCUCAUCAUCUGCAACAUUAAAAGCCACCUUUGAGCGACCUCCCACCUAUUAUGAUGUCAGAGGGAAGAGAGUAGAAAAGAAAAAAGGAUGUCGAGAAAAUAAAUUUGUAU
rnacentral:ribozyme from 13 species